GGGGAAUUAGCUCAGUUGGUAGAGCACAUGGUUCGCAAUCAUGAGGCCGCGGGUCCGACCCCCGCAUUCUCCACCA
rnacentral:tRNA from 1 species